UACGUAGGGGCGAGCGUUGUCCGGAAUUAUUGGGCGUAAAGGGCGUGUAGGCGGUUAUUUAAGUCAGGUGUGAAACACCACGGCUCAACCGUGGGGUUGCACUUGAAACUGGAGGACUUGAGUGCAGGAGAGGAGAGCGGAAUUCCCGGUGUAGCGGUGAAAUGCGUAGAUAUCGGGAAGAACACCAGUGGCGAAGGCGGCUCUCUGGCCUGCAACUGACGCUGAGGCGCGAAAGCUAGGGUAGCGAACGGGAUUAGAUACCCCUGUAGUCCCUGAG
rnacentral:rRNA from 1 species